rnacentral:rRNA from 1 species
AAAUUGAAGAGUUUGAUCAUGGCUCAGAUUGAACGCUGGCGGCAGGCCUAACACAUGCAAGUCGAACGGUAACAGGAAGAAGCUUGCUUCUUUGCUGACGAGUGGCGGACGGGUGAGUAAUGUCUGGGAAACUGCCUGAUGGAGAGGGAUAACUACUGGAAACGGUAGCUAAUACCGCAUAACGUCGCAAGACCAAAGAGGGGGACCUUCGGGCCUCUUGCCAUC